ACGCUAGGGGUGCUUUGCUGAGAUGAACCCGCAGGUUCGAUCCCUCAAUACUUGAUCCGGAUAAUACCGGCGUAAGGAAGCGAAA
rnacentral:ncRNA from 1 species